AUUGAACGCUGGCUGCAUUCCUAACACAUGCCAUUCGAGCGAGCGGCGGACGGGUGAGUAAUUUCUGGGGACUGCCCGAUAGAGGGUGAUAACUACUGGAAACGGUAGCUAAUACCGCAUACUAUCGGCUACCCCAUAUGGGAUUAGCUAGUAGGUGAGGUACUGGCUCACCUAGUCGACGAUCCCUAGCUGGUCUGAGAGGAUGAUCAGCCAAACUGGGACUGAGACACGGCCCAGACUCCUACGGAGGCAGCAGUGGGGAAUAUUGCACAAUGGGCGCAAGCCUGAUGCAGCCAUGCCGCGUGUAUGAAGAAGGCCCUAGGGUUGUAAAGUACUUUCAGUCGGGAGGCGUUACCGACAGAAGAAGCACCGGCUAACUCCGUGCCAGCAGCCGCGGUAAUUC
rnacentral:rRNA from 1 species